rnacentral:rRNA from 1 species
UACGUAGGGUGCAAGCGUUAAUCGGAAUUACUGGGCGUAAAGCGUGCGCAGGCGGCUUUGCGAGACAGAUGUGAAAUCCCCGGGCUUAACCUGGGAACUGCAUUUGUGACUGCAUGGCUGGAGUGCGGCAGAGGGGGAUGGAAUUCCGCGUGUAGCAGUGAAAUGCGUAGAUAUGCGGAGGAACACCGAUGGCGAAGGCAAUCCCCUGGGCCUGCACUGACGCUCAUGCACGAAAGC